GGCGAACGGGUGAGUAACACGUGGGUGAUCUGCCUUGCACUUCGGGAUAAGCUUGGGAAACUGGGUCUAAUACCGGAUAGGACAGCUGUUUAGUGUCAGUUGUGGAAAGUUUUUUCGGUGCAAGAUGAGCUCGCGGCCUAUCAGCUUGUUGGUGGGGUAAUGGCCUACCAAGGCGUCGACGGGUAGCCGGCCUGAGAGGGUGUACGGCCACAUUGGGACUGAGAUACGGCCCAG
rnacentral:rRNA from 1 species